rnacentral:rRNA from 1 species
UACGUAGGUGGCGAGCGUUGUCCGGAUUUACUGGGUGUAAAGGGCGUGUAGGCGGGAUGGCAAGUCAGAUGUGAAAACUAUGGGCUCAACCCAUAGCCUGCAUUUGAAACUGUCGUUCUUGAGUGAUGGAGAGGCAGGCGGAAUUCCUAGUGUAGCGGUGAAAUGCAUAGAUAUUAGGAGGAACACCAGUGGCGAAGGCGGCCUGCUGGACAUUAACUGACGCUGAGGCGCGAAAGCGUGGGGAG